AAAAGAACGAGAAAGAGAGUGAGGGAGGAAGCCUGACUGCUGCUGGCCUCCGACAGCUACUGGUCCACUCAGGACGGAACCCAGCAGGACCCCGAAGCAUCUUUCUGGGACAGACCCCUCCCUCCCGUAUACUCUGUUGUAGCUCCUCUCUGAGGCUUGCACUACCCAGAUAAAAUGUCAACACCUUCAAUUUCCCCUGGGAUUCUCUAAGGCUCAUAUGGGCAAAAUUGGAAAAGGAGAUGUGUACAAAUAUGUUAUAAAUUCCACGUGAGAAGCCAGAAAGACAAAGGCAAAUACCAUAUGAUGUCACUUAUAACUGGAAUCUAAUAUCCAGCACAAAUGAACAUCUCCACAGAAAAGAAAAUCAUGGACUUGGAAAACAGACUUGUGGCUGCCUGGGGGGAGAGGGAGGGAGUGGGAGGGAUCGGGAGCUUGGGGUUAUCAGACACAACUUGGAAUAGAUUUACAAGGAGAUCCUGCUGAAUAGCAUUGAGAAUUACGUCUAGAUACUCAUGUUGCAACAGAACAAAGGGUGGGGAAAAAAAAUGUAAUGUAUACAUGUAAGGAUAACUUGAUCCCCUUGCUGUACAGUGGGGGAAAAAAAAAUGCCACGUGAGAGAUACAAAUUGAGUACUAGGCCACUUUUAGUAGUAGGAAUUUGAGGAAAUGCUCUAAAAAAAGAGAUUGCCUAAAUCGGACCUUACAACAUAAGUGUGAUUUUGGACGAUGGAAUAUAAGGGAUUCCAUUGACCUGAAGUCUCAUCAAAAUUAGAAAUUUGUAUUCAGCUGCAUAAGAAAACCAAAAUAGCAUCUUCUUAACUAAAUAGGUAUAUACAAUUCCUAUUAAGUGUGCAAGUGGUCAGCACUCAAUAAACACUAGCUAUCACUGUUUUAGAUUGGUUGAAUUUUAUGAAGUUCUGGGUGCUGAUAAAGUCACUGAGCAAAAAAAAAUGGAUGCGUCAACUUGCUUUUGUAGAGGAGAAGGUGAUCGCAAAUCAUGGUGUGGGGUCCCCCGCUCUGCUGUGACAUCCCAUCCUCCCGAGGACAGCUGAGGUUGACAGAAGACAGAACAGGGUCAUUACACAAAACUGGAACAUUCUUGGUUGGUAUUUGUCAGAUGGACAGAACUUCCCACUGCCCUAAGACUGGAACAGAGGCAUGCAGGCUUCACCAGAACAAAGCUUGAAGAUAAGAAACUACCAAUGGAGUUCCCAUUGUGGAUCAGGGGGUUAAGAACCUGACUAGUAUCCACGAGGGUGGGGGUUCAAUCCCUGGCCUUGCCCAGUAGGUUAAGGAUCCAGGGUUGCCCUGAGCUGUGGUGUGGGUCACAGACGCAUCUCAGAUCUGGUGUUGCUAUAGCUGUGGUGUAGACCAGCAGCUGUGGCUCCCAUUCAACCCCUAGCCUGGGAACUUCCGUAUGCCAUGGGUGCAGUCCUAGGGAAAAAAAAAAAAAA
rnacentral:lncRNA from 1 species